rnacentral:rRNA from 1 species
AUGGCAGCUGCGGCCGCCUCGCUGCUACUACUGCAGUGCGUGGUCACCAUGCUCGCCGGUGCCGCCACGGCCGACGCCCAAUAUUCCGCCCAGACCUUCGCCGACCUCCAGAACGCGGCCCGCGCCGACGUGGGAGUCGCGCCGCUGGCGUGGGAUGACACCCUGGCAGGCUACGCCCAGAGAUACGCCGGCGAGAGGAAAGGCGACUGCAAGCUCGUGCACUCCGACGGGCCCUAUGGCGAGAGCAUAUUCUGGGGCAACAAGGGCGGUAACUGGACGGCCAGCGACGCGGUGGCCGUGUGGGUCCAGGAGAAGCAGUACUACAACUGCAGCGACGGCUCGUGUGCCGCGGGAAAAAUCUGCUCUCAUUACACGCAGAUCGUGUGGGCUAACACCACCCGGGUCGGGUGCGCCGCCGUGGCCUGCGACGGGAACCUUGGUACGUUCAUCCUUUGUGAGUACGACCCCCGAGGGAACGUGCCGGGUGUCCGGCCGUAUGCCGGCUGCGGCCAGUUCAACCGCUCAGCGCAGAGUUCACCUCAAGAUUUCCUCAACCUCCAGAACGCGGCCAGAGCCGGCGUUGGCGUGGGCAUGCUCUCGUGGGACAGCACGGUGGCGGCCUACGCCGAAGGCUACGCGGAGAAGAGGAAGGGCGAUUGCCGCAAAGUCUCCUCCGGCGGGCCGUAUGGCGAGAACAUCUUCCAAGGCGGCACAGGCAUCAGCUGGACCGUCUCGGACGCCUUGUUCUCCUGGCUCGGAGAGAAGCAGAAGUACGACUGCGCAAGCAACGCGUGCAAGGAGGGGCAGGCCUGCGGGGAGUACACCCAGCUUGUCUGGGCCAACUCAACCAGAGUUGGUUGCGCGAGCGUAACCUGCGAAGGCGGGGGCACGUUCAUCACCUGCAACUACGACCCGCCUGGCAAUAUCGCCGGCGAGCGUCCCUAUUUGGGCUGCGGAGGGCAAGCUGGCGGAACUCCGCCGCCAACUUCCGACAAAGUAAAUGGUACUGCGGCCAACGGAAAUGGCAAUGGCUCAAAUGCAAACAGCAGCAACCCAAGAAGAAAUGGCAGUAGCCCUGCAAUCCUGCCAAUCGUCCUUCCAGUGGUAACAAGUCUUCGUUUAAUCUCAGCUAUAUCAAUUUACAUAUGGAUAAAGAGACCGAGUCCGAAGAAGACACUAUCAUAUACAGCUUGUUCAGAAGAUAUUGAAGAUAUUAAAUCGGUGCUACUGGACCCAUCAGUAAUAAGAACAGCAACGAGUAAUUUUUCUGAAGAAAAUAAACUGGGGGAAGGAGGAUUUGGUCAAGUUUAUAAGGGUAUGAUGCCAGAUGGACAAGAAAUAGCAGUAAAAAGAUUAUCGGAAGUAUCAAAACAAGGCCUUCCUGAGCUAAAAAAUGAGCUGCUAUUAGUUGCCAAGCUUCAGCACCGUAAUCUGGUGAAGUUAAUAGGCGCUUGCCUCGAUGGAGAGGACAAGUUACUUGUGUAUGAAUAUAUCCCAAAGAAAAGUCUUGAUGCCUUUAUUUUCGAUGACGAAAAGCGUGGAAAAUUAGCUUGGGAUACACGAUACAAGAUCAUUUGUGGUAUUGCUCGAGGCUUGGCAUAUCUACAUGACGAGUCCCGUAUAAAAGUUAUACAUAGAGACCUGAAGCCAAGCAAUAUAUUACUAGAAAUGGGUAUGAAUCCAAAGAUCUCUGACUUUGGUUUGGCAAGUGUUUUUGAGGGUGAUCAUACAAAGCAUAUUACAAGAAGAGUAGCUGGAACCUAUGGAUAUAUGGCACCAGAAUAUGCGGUUCUUGGACAUGUUUCAACCAAAUCAGAUGUGUUCAGCUUUGGAAUGAUCAUUCUAGAAAUCGUGACGGGGAGGAGAAACAGUGUAUCGUCUGAAACAAUGAUGGCUGAGCAUCUUUUAACCUAUGUAUGGGAGAACUGGAACAGGGGGAGAAAAGCUGAGAUAGUUGAUCCAUCAUUGCACUACAACUAUUCUGAAAGUGAGGUUCUCAACUGUGUACACAUUGGACUAUUAUGUGUUCAAGAGAGUCCAAGUGAUAGACCCGGCAUCUCCAAUGUGAUCCUCAUGCUUGUUGGAAGGUCUACUACCUUGCCUGCUCCUUCCAGGCCUGCUUUUCUAUUUAGGUUGAAUAAUGAGAACCAUGUCCAUGGUGAUCUCAAUGACCUACUAGAUGACUCGAACAAAUCAAAUCCAUCAUUCAAUAAGUUGACAAUCACAGAAUUCGAACCAAGAUAG